GACCGUAGCUCAACUGGCGAGAGCGCCUGAGUACGAAUCUGGAGGUCGCGGGUUCGAAUCCCACUGGCA
rnacentral:tRNA from 1 species